GUUGGCGGCUUGUGUGUCUUCUUUUGAGAAGUGUUCAGUCAUGUCUUUUGCCCUCUUUUUAAUGGAGUUACUUGUUUUUUUUUUCUUGAAUUGUUUCCU